rnacentral:sRNA from 1 species
GGCAAUAGCAGAAUAGGAGCAAGCCAGCACUAGUCAGCUAAGUGACUCAACCAAGGCCUUUUUUCCUUGUUAUCUUUGUAGAUACUUCAUUUUCUUAGUGUUUCUGGAGAUUACAACAUCCUGCGUUUCCGUUUCUGGGAACUUUACUGAUUUAUCUCCCUGCUCACACAAAAUAAGCAUUGAUUCCUGCAUUUCUGAAGAUCUCAGGAUCUAGACUAUUGUUGAAAAAAUUUCCAGUGAGGCUCACUUAUGUCUGUAAAGAUGGAAAAAAAAUACAAGAACAUUGUUCUACUAAAAGGAUUAGAGGUCAUCAAUGAUUAUCAUUUUAGAAUGGUUAAGUCCUUACUGAGCAACGAUUUAAAACUUAAUUUAAAAAUGAGAGAAGAGUAUGACAAAAUUCAGAUUGCUGACUUGAUGGAAGAAAAGUUCCGAGGUGAUGCUGGUUUGGGCAAACUAAUACAAAUUUUCAAAGAUAUACCAACACUUGAAGACCUGGCUGAAACUCUUAAAAAAGAAAAGUUAAAAGCAAAAGGACUAGCCCCAUCAAGAAAGAGGAAGAAGGAAGUGGAUGCUGCUUCACCUGCACCCUCCACAAGCAGCACUGUCAAAACUGAAGGAGCAGAGGCAACUCCUGGAGCUCAGAAAAGAAAAAAAACAACCAAAGAAAAGUCUGGACCCAAAGGGAGUAAGGUGUCCAAGGAGCAGACUCAGCCUCCCUGUCCUGCAGGAGCCGGCAUGUCCACAGCCAUGGGCCGUUCCCCAUCUCCCAAGACCUCAUCGUCAGCUCCACCCAACACUUCCUCAACUGAGAACCCGAAAACAGUGGCCAAAUGUCAGGCAACUCCCAGAAGAAGUGUUCUCCAAAAAGGCCCAGUGAUAGUGAAGGUACUGAGUACAACAAAGCCAUUUGAAUAUGAGACCCCAGAAAUGGAGAAAAAAAUAAUGUUUCAUGCUACAGUGGCUACACAGACACAGUUCUUCCAUGUGAAAGUUUUAAACACCAGCUUGAAGGAGAAAUUCAAUGGAAAGAAAAUCAUCAUCAUAUCAGAUUAUUUGGAAUAUGAUAGUCUCCUAGAGGUCAACGAAGAAUCUACUGUAUCUGAAGCUGGUCCUAACCAAAAGUUUGAGGUUCCAAAUAAAAUCAUCAACAGAGCAAAGGAAACUCUGAAGAUUGAUAUUCUUCACAAACAAGCUUCAGGAAAUAUUGUAUAUGGGGUAUUUACGCUACAUAAGAAAACAGUAAAUCAGAAGACCACGAUCUACAAAAUUCAGGAUGAUAGAGGAAAAAUGGAUGUAGUGGGGACAGGACAAUGUCACAACAUCCCCUGUGAAGAAGGAGAUAAGCUCCAACUUUACUGCUUUCGACUUAGAAAAAAGAACCAGAUGUCAACACUGAUUUCAGAAAUGCAUAGUUUUAUCCAGAUAAAGAAAAAAACAAACCCAAGAAACAACGACCCCAAGAGCAUGAAGCUACCCCAGGAACAGAGUCAGCUUCCAAAUCCUUCAGAGGCCGGCACAACCUUCCCUGAGAGCCAUCUUUGGACUCCUCAGAUGCCACCAACAACUCCAUCCAGCAGUUUCUUCACCAAGAAAAGUGAAGACACAAUCUCCAAAAUGAAUGACUUCAUGAGGAUGCAGAUACUGAAGGAAGAGAGUCAUUUUCCAGGACCGUUCAUGACCAGCAUAGGCCCAGCUGAGAGCUAUCCCCACACUCCUCAGAUGCCUCCAUCAACACCAAGCAGCAGUUUCUUAACCACGUGGAAACCAAAACUGCAGACUGAACCUGAAGAAGUUUCCAUAGAAGACAGUGCCCAGAGUGACCUCAAAGAAGUGAUGGUGCUGAACGCAACAGAAUCAUUUGUAUAUGAGCCCAAAGAGCAGAAGAAAAUGUUUCAUGCCACAGUGGCAACUGAGAAGGAAGUCUUCCGAGUGAAGGUUUUUAAUAUUGACCUAAAGGAGAAGUUCACCCCAAAGAAGAUCAUUGCCAUAUCAAAUUAUGUUUGCCGCAAUGGGUUCCUGGAGGUAUAUCCUUUCACACUUGUGGCUGAUGUGAAUGCUGACCCAAAGAUGGAGAUCCCAAAAGGAUUGAUUAGAAGUGCCAACAUAACUCCUAAAAUUAAUCAGCUUUGCUCACAAACUAAAGGAAGUUUUGUGAAUGGGGUGUUUGAGGUACAUAAGGUAAGCCCACACCACUGUUUUAUAAAAUUUCUCCUGCAACCCCCAAUUUUUAAAGUCUUAACUUGUCAACUAGAGUUUGGUCAACUUACUCGACACAGAAAAUCAACCCCUUCACCCCUCCGCCAGCACUAGAGAUAACUGAAUAGAGUUCAUUUCAGGAUAUGGGGUACAUUAUAUUGUAACAUUCCUCUUCUUAAGGUAUCACCAUGCAAGUUAUUUAGACAGUCACUAGGAAACUUGGCAUUUUAUUAGCUAUGAUGAUCUAUUUAGAGCCACCCUUGUCCAGGACAGUGCAGAGUUUAUAUCAACACACAUAUCCUUAGGAUUUUGUUUGAGUUCUUCUCCAUCUAUAUCAAUGACAACUUAAUUUAAUUGUGAAUAAAAGAGUUGCUCUCCCAAGCCUGAAUCUUGAUUGUGACAACCAGAGUAAGAAAUAAAAUAGACUACUCUGCUUUAGAAUGCAGCUAUGUCUAACAGUUAGCUAGAAUUCUGAUCAUUUGGACUCCAAAGUUUCUUGCCUCUUCUCAUUCAUUAAUUCAUCAGGAGAUUGUAGAGCAACUGACUUCUGCAUUAAAUAAUAAGAGAAAUAUGAAGCAAAAAGACUAAAAAAGGCACAUAGCUUAACUGCUCAAUUUAUAAAUGGGGCAAUAAAAUGCAAAAAAAAAAAAAAAAGCUUGGUGAAUUCUUAGGCUUACAGUGUGCCUUUCAGUCUUAACACAUCAUGUAAAUAUUAUGCUUGGCUGAUUUAACUUCUUGUUUGAAGUACUGUUUCAUACUCCAUUAUAUAUGUCUUCUAGGGUGGCUUACUUUUAAUUGUGCUGUUUUUGUACACUCUGUUUAAAUGACUGUGCAUAUAUAUGUGGUUGUAGAAUUAAUGAAUAAAGUAAUGAGCUACAAACCACAACAAUGUGACUAGAUGGAUGAUCUAGAUUUGAGAUCUGGGCAGAUUGGUGAAGAGUGACUAUAUGGAGAAGAAAGAAGUAGUUACAUAUUGCAAUAACAGUCUACUUAAUGAGGACUUGCAGCAUUCUUUCUCAAACUUAUAAAGUGCCAUAAAAAGCCUCUAUUUUCUGCUCUUGGGCAGGUGUGAAAGAAACCUACCAAAUUAAUCAGAUUUUUCUGUAUCCAAGCUCCUUAAAAAAUCCCAGCUAUGCUGAUGUGGAUACAGGAAGAAUUAGGAAAGUAAUCAAUUUUUUUUCCUAGAAAAAAUCCUACAGAUAAAGAACUUCAACAAAAGAGGCUCAAGGGAGGAUUUGAAAGGCAGGAUUCAAAGACCAAGUAUCUUAAGGUAUUUGGUACCUGUUAUUCAGGACCUACAGCUCUAUUUACUCUAUCAAAGACAAGUUUCCAGAAACACCCUGUAUUUCUCAUAGAUUUGAAAAUUAUUGAUCCAGUUUCAGAAGAUAAGUGUUAAUUUUCUUUUGCAGAAAAAUGUAAGGGGUGAAUUCACUUAUUAUGAAAUACAAGAUAAUACAGGGAAGAUGGAAGUGGUGGUGCAUGGACGACUGACCACAAUCAACUGUGAGGAAGGAGAUAAACUGAAACUCACCUGCUUUGAAUUGGCACCGAAAAGUGGGAAUACCGGGGAGUUGAGAUCUGUAAUUCAUAGUCACAUCAAGGUCAUCAAGACCAGGAAAAACAAGAAAGAUAUACUCAAUCCUGAUUCAAGUAUGGAAACUUCACCAGACUUUUUCUUCUAAAAUCUGGAUGUCAUUGACGAUAAUGUUUAUGGAGAUAAGGUGUAAGUGCCUAAAAAAUGUACAUAUACCUGGUUGAAAUACAACACUGUACAUACACACCACCAUAUAUACCAGCUGUUAAUCCUAUGGAAUGGGAUAUUAGGAGUGCUUUUUUAAUUCUUUAUAGUUUUUUUUCUAAAAUGGCAUAUUAUGCAUCCACAACUUCUAUAAUUUGAAAAAAAUAAAUAAACAUUAUCUUUUUUGUGAAA